GAUGAACGCUGGCGGCGUGCUUAACACAUGCAAGUCGAACGGUUAACCCGGAGCUUGCUCUGUGGGAUCAGUGGCGAACGGGUGAGUAACACGUGAGCAACCUGCCCCUGACUCUGGGAUAAGCGCUGGAAACGGCGUCUAAUACUGGAUAUGUGACGUAACCGCAUGGUCUGCGUUUGGAAAGAUUUUUCGGUUGGGGAUGGGCUCGCGGCCUAUCAGCUUGUUGGUGAGGUAAUGGCUCACCAAGGCGUCGACGGGUAGCCGGCCUGAGAGGGUGACCGGCCACACUGGGACUGAGACACGGCCCAGACUCCUACGGGAGGCAGCAGUGGGGAAUAUUGCACAAUGGGCGCAAGCCUGAUGCAGCAACGCCGCGUGAGGGAUGACGGCCUUCGGGUUGUAAACCUCUUUUAGCAGGGAAGAAGCGAAAGUGACGGUACCUGCAGAAAAAGCGCCGGCUAACUACGUG
rnacentral:rRNA from 1 species